rnacentral:rRNA from 1 species
GACGGAGGAUGCAAGCGUUAUCCGGAAUGAUUGGGCGUAAAGCGUCCGCAGGUGGCAGUUCAAGUCUGCUGUCAAAGACCGGGGCUUAACUUCGGAAAGGCAGUGGAAACUGAACAGCUAGAGUAUGGUAGGGGCAGAGGGAAUUCCUGGUGUAGCGGUGAAAUGCGCAGAUAUCAGGAAGAACACCCGUGGCGAAGGCGGCUCUCUGGGACGGUACUGACGCUGAGACGCGAAAGCGUGGGGAGCGAACAGG